rnacentral:rRNA from 1 species
GUGCCAGCCGCCGCGGUAAUACGGGGGGAGCAAGCGUUGUUCGGAUUUACUGGGCGUAAAGGGCGCGUAGGCGGCCUCCGCAAGUCAGUUGUGAAAUCUCCGAGCUUAACUCGGAAAGGUCAACUGAUACUGCGGGGCUAGAGUGCGGAAGGGGCAACUGGAAUUCUUGGUGUAGCGGUGAAAUGCGUAGAUAUCAAGAGGAACACCUGCGGCGAAGGCGGGUUGCUGGGCCGACACUGACGCUGAGGCGCGAAAGCUAGGGGAGCGAACGGGAUUAGAUACCCUUGUAGUCC